rnacentral:rRNA from 1 species
UACGUAGGGUCCGAGCGUUGUCCGGAAUUAUUGGGCGUAAAGGGCUCGUAGGCGGUUCGUCACGUCGGGAGUGAAAACUCGGGGCUUAACCCCGAGCCUGCUUCCGAUACGGGCAGACUAGAGGUAGGCAGGGGAGAGCGGAACUCCUGGUGUAGCGGUGGAAUGCGCAGAUAUCAGGAGGAACACCGGUGGCGAAGGCGGGUCUCUGGGCAAUAACUGACGCUGAGGAGCGAAAGCGUGGGGAGCGAACAGG